rnacentral:rRNA from 1 species
CAGCCCGCGGUAACACCAGCAGCCCAAGUGGUGGUCGCGAUUAUUGGGCCUAAAGCGCUCGUAGCCGGGCCGGUAAGUCCCUUGUGAAAUCGGACGGCCUAACCGUUCGGCGUGCAAGGGAUACUGUCGGUCUUGAGGCCGGGAGACGUCCGAGGUACUCCGGGGGUAGCGGUGAAAUGUUCUGAUCCUCGGGGGACCACCGGUGGCGAAGGCGUUCGACGAGAACGGGCCUGACGGUGAGGGGCGAAGGCUAGGGGAGCAAACGGGAUUAGAUACCCGCGUAGUCCCUGUCUCUUAUACA